CUCACGGGCGUUAAAUCACGGAAACACAGGACAUCAGUGUCGAGACGCGUUUCUUAACGACGGUGGGCUGUAUUUCUAGGCGAGGAUGUAAAGCAUCUGCUGAAGUAUGUCUGUGCCAGGCAGAAGGAUCCCCUGCAACUAACCAGCAGAGCUAGACAUGGGUUGGUCUGAUUAAGGAAUGAAGAGAGCAUCUGUUCCCAAGGCAACGCCUAUCUGUGGUCAGUGGCCGGCCACUCCCUGUCCCGGGACGCAAUACAAAUGUCAAGUUUCUUCUUUUGUAAAUGCAAAUGGUCAAUCCGACCACUUAGGGUCUGAAAUCAUUGUUUUGUCUUUAAAAAUAUUGUCAUUGUCAUGUGGUUAACAACAUCUUUGUUUUCAUCUAUUAAACUUUACAUACAUUUAAAAAAGUGGAAUUAAACUUAUUCCAUUUACCGUAGGUAAAUUUGGCACUGCUGAUUAAUAAGAAAAGACAUACGUUUUCAUUUUUAGAAGGUUGAAUUUUUGUACAGUGAAUUUUUACUUGAUAUUAUUGUCAAAGUGCUCAAAGUACAUGUUGUUCAAGACGGAAAUAAAUGGGUCAUGUUUAUUUUUCCUAAAUGUUUCAUACUUCACAUAUUUUCAUACCGCAAAUACCAUUCAAAAGCUCAAAAAAGGGCAAUAACAUUUUUAAUGGUUUUGAGAGAAGUCUCUUAUGUUCAUCACUGCAUUUAUUUGAUCAAAAUACAGUAAAACUGUUUUGAAAUAAUAUUACAAUUUAAAAUGUUUUCUAUUUUAAUAUAUUUAAAAGAAUAAUUUAUUCCUGUGAUGGCAAAGCUGACUUUUUUUCAGCAUCAUUACUCAGUCUUCAG